GUGCCAGCAGCCGCGGUAAGACGGGGGGGGCUAGUGUUAUUCGGAAUGACUAGGCGUAAAGGGCACGUAGGCGGUGAAUCCGGUUGAAAGUGAAAGUCGCCAGCUCAACUGGCGGAAUGCUUUCAAAACCAAUUCACUUGAGUAAGAUAGAGGAUAGUGGAAUUUCGUGUGUAGAGAUAAAAUUCACAGAUAUACGAAGGAACACCAAAAGCGAAGGCAGCUUUCUGGGUCUCUACUGACGCUGAGGUGCGAAAGCAUAGGGAGCAAACAGGAUUAGAUACCCUGGUAGUCC
rnacentral:rRNA from 1 species